rnacentral:tRNA from 1 species
GGAAGUGUGCCUGAAAGAAAGGGCCUCCUUGAUAGGGAGGAUCAUAUGGAUUAAUACCCAUCACUUCCU